AUUGAACGCUGGCGGCGUGCCUAAUACAUGCAAGUCGAACGCAGUGGGGACGGGUGAGGAACAAGUGGGUAACGUCCCAUCAGAGGGGAUAACACUUGGAAACAGGUGCUAAACCGAUACGGGUGGAUGGACACGCGGGGCAUUAGCUAGUUGGUGGGGUAACGGCUCACCAAGGCCACGAGGCAUAGCCGGCCUGAGAGGGUGAUCAGCCACACUGGGACUGAGACACGGCCCAGACUCCUACGGGAGGCAGCAGUAGGGAAUCUUGGGCAAUGGACGAAAGUCUGACCGAGCAACGCCGCGUGAGUGAAGAAGGUUUUCGGGUCGUAAAGCUCUGUUGUUAGGGAAGCGGUAUCUAACCAGAAAGCCACGGCUAACUACGUGCCAGCAGCCGCGGUAAUAC
rnacentral:rRNA from 1 species